CGCUGUGAUUGGUCGAUCGCCUCGGCUCCAUCAUGGCGGUUUGUUAUUCCGCGUGAUAUGAGAGCGGCCGCCGUUUAAACCCUUGCCCUGUCGCGCCCGUCGAUGCUGCGCCAUUUUCGGUGAAUGAACACGACCACCGGUGGAGAUGGUGGGUGUGAGUGUAGUGCAGGUGGCGAAUGGGGUUCGUCACACACCCCUCCCACCUCUCACACACGAGUUACAGCUCAGCCAUGAAGACCACACAAAGGAACUUGACACAUCCUCCCCACCACCUAAAGUGUUGGGGGGAUUUGUUGGAGGGGGGCAGCUUGCUUGGCGAGCCUGUGGCCCCACCUUGGAGGUCAUUGAGCCAACAACAGGAAGGAGAAAAGCUGCAUGGACAUUUGGUGCCAUCAUGCACAAUGCUGAUGCCAGGGUAACAAGUGUGGCUGGUGUUGGGCUUGGGACAAUUUCCCAAGUUGUAGUUGGUGUGGACCUUGGUGCAGACCGAAGACCUCAGGGAAUGGUUGCGCUUUUAUCUCUCCAUUCGUCACGUGUAACUAGAGUAUUUCAUUUUACUUACAAGGUAACAAAUGUGUGUAUGGUGUCCGGUGGAGAAGUGAGUGUGGAUCCGGGCACCUUAUCAGCAGAGUUGCGUCCAUGGCGAGGUCUGUUGGUCGUUGGAACGUCGCAUGGAACACUUCAUCUAGUUGACUUAGCAUUAGACCUGGGUGGUCAUAAGGUUUUGUCUGAUGAGAUCUCUCCAGGAACUUUAGUGAAUAUAACCAUACCAGAUGCCCAAGCAGAGAGUUCCCGGUUCAGUGCAGUUAUGCAAAAUUGCCAUCCAACUGUAUGCUUAAGUGAUGGAAUGAGUCAAAAUGGCCGCUUCCAGCUCAUCGGGCCCGACGACAAUGUGCUUUUUGAGACGGCAAGUCACUGUGUGGUGGUUACUGCCAUGUCCUUCAUCCCACAGCUUGCCUCGCUUGUCAUAGGAUAUAAUUUUGGGGCUUUUCAGAUAAUCAACUUGUCAACUCUAACCAUAGAUUGUGCAAGCCCCUAUGAAGACAACAUGCCUCCAGUACAUUCCUUUGCCUGCCAAGAACCAGAGAAUGACCCCAAGAACUUUGUUUACCUGUGGCUCUGUCGGAGUUGGGGUCCAUCUGAUGAGUCUGAAGGUAAGGAUGGAAGGCCUGCAGGGAGGAACAAAGCCCCAGCAUUGUGCACCAUGUAUACCAUGACCUACGACAAUAAAGUGUGGAUAGAAGGGCACGGACUGUGGUACCAGGGCCUUGCAUCUAUUUCUCCGAGGUUUGAGUUUGAUGCUAUCGGAGGUCUGGGUCUGAAGGGCCAGCCAGCCCAACCCAGCAUGGUGUUCACUGCCAUGACAGUGCGGCAGACAACCCACAAUUCAGCGGUGGCACCGGGAGGAUCUUCAGCUGCUUCGGCACUUGCUACUCCUGAUGAAGAUGCUGGACCAGCACCUGAACAAAGCUUGUCAAUGUUUGGGUGGGUAGGAGGCGUCCUGGAACGGGGGUGUAUUACUGUCAAUCACUACCUGGCUAUCUUUGACAUUAACCAGUGGUAUCAGGCUCAAAUGCCCUCCAAUUUGAAGCUGGAUGAGUCUUUACUGUGCCCAUACAUGAGCUUCCAUGUCUUGGACAGAGUACCUGGAGGAGCCAACGAGUUUGUCCUUGGUGCAGCCCCCAAGCCAGCUUCAUGGACUAGACACAUGUCACGCACUUGUAAUGAUAGUGACUGGUUCCCUGCUGCCCUCUCAUACGAUGCCCAUGUGUUAACUAGUCAAGGUCUGAUGGAAUAUCGAUGCCUGAGUGCUCAGCAGGCAUCCCUGACCUACCUAACUUCCUGUGGGCCCUCUGCAGUCGUGACCCCAGGAGAGGCCCAUGCAAUGUGCACCUUUUCUGGCCUUAUUCCCCAAGACAACCAUAUGGCAACUACAGGAUCUUCUAUGGUUUUGGAGCGUGAAGCCCUUCUGAAUGUCGCUCUGGACCAGCAGUUGGUGUCCCUUUUAGUUCAGUGUGUAGCGGAAUUUUCUGAGGGUCGCUUUACUAACCUCGGAUGCUCCCUGCCAUCUUUACUGGACUGGGCUUGGUCAAGAGUGUGUGCCAUCAAGGCCACCAAUGACAGCCUUAGUCUACCCCUGUUUGACCCAGACUGUGGAGUCAUUAGUGCAGAGAAUAUUACCACUCUUCACCAGAAUCUCAACAGUUUGGCCUCUCUCACCACCGUUGUUACUGCUAUACGGGACUGUGCCAAAACAAACAUGAUAACCAUGAAAGGUGCUGGUGAACUGGAGAGUCGUGUCCAGGUUGUGAGUCUGUUGAUGCUACAUUUGAGUGUUGUUCUGUGGUUUUAUCACUGUGGCCUCCUUUCUCAUAGUCCCACAGAAGAUAUAGAAGAGUGUCAUGUCCCCUUCCCUGCCGAUCUCUUGUGUCGGAUAUACAAGAACAGACGCUCAGAAAUCAAGCGAUUGAGCACCACCCUAAAUGGGGCUGAGAUCCUCAUGAUCGAUGGUUUGUUGGAGGACGUGAAUGGCGGCGGAAGUAUUGGGAAGGCUUGGGAAAAAGAGGGAGGAAGUGGCUUGUACCCUCCUCCUUCCCUGCAUGCCCUGUUAGCUAUCUUCCUACUCCCAGACAUCUCUACCACCACCAAGCACCGCAUUGUCCAGUACCUCUUCCUUGAUCUGGCAUCACUCCUCUCUGAUGGGUACACAAGAGUAGUGGAGGAGUUGGUGAAGUACCCGUCAAGUUUUUCUCUGUCUCCGUCACACAUCAAACUUACACAGGCCUUCUGGCUGCUUGACCAUAAGGACUUUCAGGAGGGACUUAACGUGUUACUGGAUCCACUGGUUAAUGCUAAUGACAUCACACCCGCACAGCAUAGAAGAAUUGUUAAGGCUUUCCUCUAUCAGGGUGAACACACACGGGCACUGACUUAUGCCCAGAUCCGACAGCCUCCAAAGGUGGACUUGGAUGACAUCCGACUGCAUCUCACUCUCCUCUUAGCCAAUGGCUUGAUCCGCGAAGCCUUCCAUUACCAGAGGACUCAUCGAGUUAAGGACAACUCGGAAGAUCUUCUAAAUCAUCUAUACACAGGUUGUGAACAACUUGGGAAACUGGAGUGUGUGGUUCACCUGCCUCUCUCACCCUUGGAAGAGGAUGCUCUUGUGUCCUAUCUGAGGACCUCCUCAUAUCCUGCAGCUCAGGAUUAUCUCCUUGUCUAUUAUCUGCAGAGAGCCAGGUACGAUGAAGCUGCAGUUCUGCAAAAUAGCCUGCGUGGUGGUCUUGGUACUGCCAAAAAGCGACAGGGAGCAAGGUCAGCACUCAUCCAUGGCUAUCUCACACACUUGCCUGAUGUUGCUAAGAAGCUGUCAUCCGCCAACUUGAGCAACAGAGGACCAACACACACAGUCUAUAGCAAACCCCAGCCCCUGUCAGCCCAGAUCCGGCAAGCAGCGUGCAGCCCCAAGACAACUGCAACUAACAUUCAUAAAACGAUACAGCAAGAGCAAGACACAUGGCCAGUAAAUAAGGGUGCGACCACACCCUACACCCCAUUCAGGAGCAGAGCGCAAAGACGUAGAGGGUAUGGACAGCCUGAAGGUCUUGGGUUCGGGGAUAUCAGCUCACCCAAAUUGAGAGAUCCUACCAGGGAGAUAUCCCACACUGUCUUCCCAUCUCGAGUUGAAGCAAGCCAGUUAAGAUACAUUGAUCAUGACGGUGAUAUUGGCCUCUUCAGUCCAACCAUCAAGAGGAGCCGCCAGGAGUUGUCCCUUUUGAAUGAUGAUACUUCAAGACUGAUGGAGUCGGUCCUCAGAAAAAAUAUUCACAGCAGCAUGGACGUGAAUGCCAGUAUGUCUCAAAACAUAUCCUCCGAUUUGCUGUCCUUACUCCAAACCCCAAAAAUUGCCCGGAAGAGGAAGCCUCUGAACCGUUCUGUUGGAGAGUCGCCUCUUACGGACACCCCGCAGUCCAUACUCAAGGUGCGCCAGAUGGUACACAGACCCAUGAGUCCAUCGGCUACCAGCGACACUUCCAUCCCAGUGUUCCCACGAAUUACCAAGAGAGCCAGUAUAUCAGCCAGUGAGGAGGUUGUGACGAACAAAGUCAGCGAUACUACUAUGACUCCCAAGCAACUGCGCUUCCACCUCCCCAAGACGAGAGCAGAAGGAGAGAGCAACAGCAAAGAAGAAGUGCUGGAGAGGGAAGAAGAGGAUGAUCUAGUACCCUUGAAGCUUGAUGAAGAAGAGGAAGAUGCAGAGGAAGAAGAGGAGGAGAGAGGGGAGAGUGAUGAGGCAGUGGAGGAGGAGGAGGAGGAGAAGGAGGGAGAGGAAGAAGAAGAAGAAGAGGAGGAGGAGGAGGAGGAGGAUGUUGAUGAUGAUGAAAAGGAAGAAAUUGAUGAAGAGGAGGAAAAGAUAGCCACAGAACAAGAAGUAGCAGAGGAAGAAUCUAUAGAGAUGGAGGAGGAGGAGGAACCAUCAAGGAAGACAGAAACAGAGGAAGAAGAGAUGAAGGAGGUAGAGGUGGAGGAGGAACCAUCAAGGAAGGCAGAAACAGAGGAAGAAGAGAUGAAGGAGGUAGAGGUGGAGGAGGAUCCAUCAAAGAAGACAGAAACAGAGGAAGAAGAGAUGAAAGAGGUAGAGGUGGUGGAGGAAGAAACAGAAGAAAUGGAAUGCAAUGAUGAAGUGAAAGAAACAAACGGUGGAAAUUGGAUUGCAGUGUCACCACGUCCUGAAAUUCACAAUAAGAAGCUAAGCCCAGUGAGGCGCAAGUCUACUGGAAUCCCAUCGCCACGGCAACCUCUGCCUGGCUACGUGGCCAAAACAACUCAGGGAGAAGCAAUGUUACCCCAGAGCAUCUUCAAGGAGUGUGCUGAUGCAGAUGAAAUGGAUGCAAGCAGAGCAUCUGGGGAUGAAGGAGAUGUUGAGUAUCAAAGCAGGGAGACGACUGUGAAUGAGGACUUUUAUAGCUUCACUGAAGAGGAUGAGUUCAAUAUCUCAGAAAAGUCUGCAACAUCUGUAACAGGAGAUGGGGUGGCCAAGGAAUCUGAUGAUUUGGUUGACAGAGUAGAAGAAAAGGAGCUUGACGUUGAGAAAUCAAGUGAAACAGAAGAGAAAACAGAGUGCAAGCUUGAUCAAGUGCAAAACAAUGGUGGUGGUAUUAUUGAGGUCCAACAGGUAGAAUACUUAGAGGAAACCUCCAAACAGGAAGUCCAUCAUGAGGAGGUGAAGAAAUCUGUUUUGAUUGAGAAAGAGACACACAUCACAAGAGAACUAGAGACCAAAAAGGAAAAGAUGCAACAGCAGCUUAAUGAAUCAGAGCAUUUUGGCACUCUACAGUUUUCCGAUUCUGAAAGCGAAGAUGAAUCGACAACAAAAGCCCAGCCUCAAGAAGAAGCUUCCACUGUGACCAGCCAGGAAUUGGUAUCAGAAGAGAAUGGUGGCAGUGCAGAAAAUGAAGAGGAGAUCAUUGAGAAGCUGUCAGAGGAAGAGGAAGAGAUGAUAGUAGAAGCUCUCUCAGAAGAGGAAGAUCUGAGUCUGGCUCUAGACACAACAGAACGAUUCAGUCCUCUGCGAUUUUCAGAUUCAGAAAAUGAAAAUGAUGAAAAUGAUGGUGGCUCUGAUGGUGAACAGGAGAAAGUUAUUGAUAGAAAUGGAACAGAUAAGACUCUUGUAGAAUUAAGUGAAACCAAAGACAAAGAGGAAAUUAAGGUUGACACUCCGCAGUGGCAUCCUGUAAGCGUGCAGGUUUUCAAAACAGAGAUGGUCUCAGAGACAAAAGUCAUCAGGAAGACUGUAGAAUCUCCAUUACCAAAGGAACCAGUUCUCACAGAGAGCAAAUCAGAAACUAUCAGUGUAGAGAACAAUAACGAAGAAAUUGCGAAAUUUAUUGAAGAGGACGCAUCAAAGAAGGAUGUAGCUGUAACAGAGACAGGAGAACCAGUUGCAAGCCUUGAAGAACAAAGAGUAUCAUCUACCCCGUCUACAAAUGGAUCGUCAGAAGUAAACCACAAAGCAGUAGAAACCAUAUCAUCUUCAGAUAUCUCAGAGUCCUCUACUGGGUUGUCAAAAGAUCAGUUGGAGAAAUCGGGCAUUCCAUCUGCCAUAGACUCCAUGGACAUGGAUGAAGAACAGGGUGAGGUUGGUCAUGAAGAGGGCAAAGAAGUGGAGAAAGACACAGACACAGGCAUAAAGGAGAAUGUUGUUGAGAAAAUGGAAGAAAAGAUGGGUACAUCAGUGGUAGAUAGUGUUGUAGAUUCUAAAGAAAGCAUCUCUGUAGAAAAUGAAAAUAUGGAGACAGAUGAAACCGAUGGGAAGGUAAGUGGUGAAAGUGAGUCCCAGCAGGAACCGGAAGCUGUAGAAAGAGCAGAAGUUGGUAGAUUAGAUGUUACACCACCUGAGGAGACUGAUUCAAAGGAGGAAAAAACUAGUGAUAAGGAAGAUGGUACUGAAAUUAAGUCAGACCUUGUAGAAACUAGAGAUACACAGUCUAGCAAGGUUAAAGAAAUGCUUCAAGAAAUAGAAAGCAGUCCUCCAGAGGAAAGUUCUGAACUUCCUACUAGACCAGAAACACCAACUAGAAAAGCUGAGGAAGUACCAGAAACUUCAAGGGUAGCUUCAGUGCGAAGAAGUCGAAGACUUAGCACAUCAUCACCAGCCACUCCUGCAACCCCAAGGAGAAGCCGACGGACAAGUGGCAGUACAGCAGAUGAACCAGUGACGCCUGCCCACAAGUCUCUGUUAAGUGAAGUUGCCUUUGAAAGGGUGACAAGAUCAGGAAGGAAGAUCGGACAGGUGCCAACGCCCGUUACAAAGAAGCGGGCCACAUCCCCCACAUCUAACCUUGUCUUAUCAGGGAGAAUGCAGAGAAGAGCCUCAGCAGUAGCAGAGGAAGUUCAGAAAGUGACUCAGAGGCUGGAGUUAUCUACUGAUGAAAUUGAAGAGGAACCUGCAGCAGGUCAGGAACCAGAGUCUGUGUCUAUAGCCACUCAUGAUGUCCUGCCAACUCCACCCUCAUCACCAACAACUCCAUCUACAAGGAGACGAAGGAGGCAGAGUUCAGGAGAGGCUGAAGCUUCUGCCACCAAGUCCCCGAUUAGACGUUCUACCAGACAAAGUGCCUUGGAUGAGUCUUUAGGAACAAUUAAAGAAGAAGCAGAGGUAUCAGAGAGUCAAGAGAGUAAGGCCACAAAGAGUAAAACUACCCCUAGGAAAUUAGAAGGUACUCCCACCAAAUCAACACCAACUAAAGCCACACCAACAAGGACACGCAGAAAAUCUGCCAAACAAUCUGCUGUCAUUGAGAGCUUGGAAACAAUUAAAGAGGAUGCAGAACUUUCAACUGGGUUUGUGCCCCUUGUUUUAGAUGAGCAGAUAACAGGAACUCCAUCCCGAAGAACUCGCCGUUCACUUGCAGGAGAGACUAGUCUAACACCUGGCACUCAGACACUUGCAGAGGUUUCAGAGACCACCCCUGAAACAAAGACCCCAUCACGUACCAGGAAAAGGUCCUUAUCAAAGACAUUAGAAGCCACUCCUGAGGUCAAAACUCCUAUGCGUACAAGGCGGCAAUCUGGUGCAUCUGAUGUUUCUGACAUUGCAGGGGAAGCUAAGACACCAACACGAAGGACACGGAAGUCUGUCACAAAGGAAGUGUCAGAAGUCACUCCAGAGAAGAAAACGCCUUCAAGGACAAGAAGACAAUCAGUGUCUUCUGAUGUGUCAGAAGCAGCCCAGGAGGCCAAGACACCAACACGCAGGACACGCCAGUCUAUUUCAAAAGAGUUGGCGGAGACUGUCAAAGAAGCCAAAACUCCAGUGCGCACAAGAAGACAGUCUGCUUCAUCUGAAGUGUCAGAGGCAGCUUCAGAAACCCACAUACCGGCACGUGGAAGACGCCAGUCCAUAUCAGAGGGUAUGACAGAGGUCGUCCCUAAAGCAAGAACUCCCUCACAGAAGAGUCAAUUAUCUCGAUCAGCCAAAAGUACAAGAAGAAGAACAAUACAGGUGUUACAAUCUGAGGAGGAAUCUGCUUUCGAAGCUGCACACCGAUUGAUCUCUGUCCCAUCUCCAGGAUCAGAAAUAUCACAGAGAUCUCCAGAUAGAAUGUCAACCAGAUCUAGCGUCAAUAGCCCACUAACGAGCAUAAAAGACUCAGAGAGCAGUGAAGAAGAAGAGGUGGGCCGAAAGAGAGCAUCUAAGCAAGCAGCUAAGAGAACAGGAAGAAAGUCUUUGGCAGUUGAGAAGACUGUGGAUGAAUCAGCAGUCAGCAAGCGUAAGAGUCGACGUCUCACCAGCAGCACACUCCCAACAGCUAUAGUGAGUGACUUGCCCGAGAAGAUCAAGACUGGCAAGACGUCUCGAAAGUCAGUUGUGUCAUCAAAGCUUUAUGCUGAUACAGAAACAGGGCUGUCCACACCCCCGGAUGUUGGUGCUACCCGUCGUGCGCGGACUUCAAAGAGAGGGAGUUCUGCCUCCACCUCAGUCUUGAUCUUGGAGGAGACAAAGGAGCUGUUGGAUGAAGAAGAGGAGAUGGUCUUGGAGAGUGGGGGGGAUGUGUUUGAAGGUGUAGAUGAAGAAAUAGCAGAAGCUGAAACAGAAGCCCAGGACAGUCCAGAUGUGUCGUACUUGAAGGCAAGCAGCAGGGGCAGAAGGAAGCGAUCCAGCGCCCUUUCUCUACUUUCAGCACCAAAGGAGGGGAGGAAGAUCUCAGCGCUGCCCAAGCGGUCCUUGACAUCCAUGAGAUUGGCAACCGAUUCUUCACAGGAUGAGGAUACAAUGGAAACGAAAGUGAAAAAGACGAAGAAAGCGUCCCGAAGGACCAAAGCAGCAGAUGCGACAAUUCUUGAGCUAGAACCAGAGAGGAGGGACAGUGUUGGAGAUGAGGAGGAGGAGGAACAAAAAGUGGAGAAAGUAGAAAAGAAAAGAAGCACUUGAACACCUGAUGGGGGAAGCAGUGGAAUUCUUGUUUUCUCCUCCUCUAGCGGAAGGAAGGAUUGUUAAAACCCAUGCCAGGAUUGAGGAAGCCAGAAGCAGUUCGAGUGAGUCCGAGACGGAUGCAGCUGUUCCAGAGAAGUCC
rnacentral:misc_RNA from 1 species